rnacentral:rRNA from 1 species
AUGGAUCAGCAGCAACCCAGCAUACCACAAGGAAAUUGGACAGAAAAUGGGCGAUCUAUUUACUACAUGCAGGCAAGUCGUGGUGGUAACCCUAUGGGCCAUGACAAUGUGGCAGGACAGUCAUCAACCCGUGGUGCCCCUGUAGUGGUGUCUUUGCAGUCAGAGAGCCAUACUCUUGAUGACAUGGGAACCGCGGCAAAUGUUCCUAGUCCAUCCAGGACUGAGCUAGGAGCCGGGGCUGUUGACAGAGCUGUGCAAGGAGAAGAAGGAGAGGAUGAGGCUGGUUCUCAACCUAUGGAACCCUAUGUUGGCAUGAGGUUUGACAGCCUUCAAAUUGCUAAGGAUCACUACAAUAGCUAUGCCCUACGGAUGGGUUUCUCUGUCAAGAUGAACACCUCUAGGUGGACACCUCACACCAAUGUAUUGGUAAAACAGCAGCUUUGCUGA